CCGCCGCUUCCCGGGCCGGAGCCCGGAUCCAACGCACUGCUUCCGGGUGGCCCUCAGGACCAGGCGGACCGUCAGUGUGGGAGCCUGGGCCCUGCUGUAUGGAAUGGUGGCCACCAAAGGAGGCCUCUUCCUUCUCAGCCGCCCUAGCCCGGGAUCCAGCACACAGGGCAUGGCAGGGAGGCCCUUCACCUCACCUGAUCCUCGUGCUCAGCCACACCGGCUCACUGACUCAGGCUCAUCUUAGUUCCUCAUAGGAAGGCCAUCCCAAGCCUGGAAACAAACGUGAGCUCUGUGAAAGAUAAAAUAAAAAGUUCGCUUAUUUAAACGAGCAGACGAACGGGCUGAAGAAAUGACUCGGUGUUUCAAAGUGGGCGCUGCUCUUGCCAGAGAACCGUGAAUUCCGUUCUCAGCAGCCACCUGUGGCAGCUCGCAACCCCCUGUAACUCAGCUCCCGGAGGACCUGCUGCUACCUGACCUUCUUAGAUACCAGCGCUCACACAUGCACACAACUAGAAAUAAAUCCCUAAGUGAAAAAAAUAGAUAAUAGAGAUGCAAGCCACCCAACGCGCCUGGAGCCUAGGUGACAGCUGAGGACAGUCAGCUUCUCUUUCCUACUCAUGUGGGUUCCGAGGAUGGAAUUCAGGUCCUCCUGAAUUCAGGUGUGCACAGAAAUGCUUUUACUAGCUAGGUAAGCCCUCUCACGGGCCACAAAACCCUCACUAUGUUUCUUUAGUGAGUAAACAAUAUUCCAACAUACAGAUUGCCUUCAUUGCUGAAAAAGAGGUUAAAGAAACAAACAAACAAACAGCAUUUCCAAAACAAAAUUUGCUGAAAAAUCUCUUUUCAAAAGAGAAUUGAUUAAAAUGUACAGGACAUUAAAAGUGAUCAGAUUUGCCCAGUGUUGGCCAAGUUUCUGACCCUCAGCCAUUACUCAGUUAACAGGCAUUACUUAUGGCUUGGGUUUGAAUAUCUCCCCAAAGCCAUGAGGUUUGGAGAGAAGUGAUUGCCUGAGGGGGUCUCGGAUAUCUUAGUUGAACUGCUGGAGAGAAGGGGAGGUGUGAGACCCAGCUGAGGAGGGGGGGUCACUGGUGGUGCGUCCUUCUGCACUUCUUAGUUGAACUGCUGGAGAGAAGGGGAGGUGUGAGACCCAGCUGAGGAGGGGGGUCACCGGUGGUGCGUCCUUCUACACUUCCGCUUGUCCCCCAACUUUCCCCUCUCUCUGAUUCCCAGCCACCGCGAGCUGCAGCCACCGCGAGCUGAGCACCCUUCUCUACCAUAGGCUGCUGCCUUAAGAUAUUUAGACUUGCCAUCUCCUGAGAGUAAAAAGCAGUGCAAGCCAGCCAUGGGCAGAAACCUUUGAAACUGUGAGCCAAAAUAGGCAUUUUGUCCCGUGGGCUGAUUUUUUUUCUGGUAUUUGUCACACUGUCAGAAGAUGACAUUGAGCAAACACAGGCCACUAAAAGAUUCCUUUGUCCAGCGGCACAGAAGGACUCCUGUAUAAAGCCUCAUCUGAUUUUCAAGCUUUGCUUUGUAGAACUUUCUUUACUUACAUCUUGACGUCCCAUUUUUCUAACAACUCCUAGGACCAGAACAUUGUGUGACUUUCCCUGGGGAGAUAAGAACCAACUGCUUCCCCCCCCCCGCCCGCAUCAACAUCCAACUGGGCAAGCCAGUGGGUGUAUUGGGGCUGCUCACAGGAGUGUAGGCGAGGGCUGUGGACGGCUCACAGGCAGCUGGAAAAGCUCACUUCAGCCUUUAGAGUCUGCCCUGGGGCUCUGUAAGACCUGCAGCUCUGCCUGCUCCAGUCACCUUGGAGAGGACAUUGGGAGCUUCCUGAGACUUCACAGUUUAGUUCCCAUCCCGCAUCUUACAGCCCUCUGGGAAAGGUAUUUCAAUUCUGAGUAUUUGUUCCACAACAAAUGUUCCUUUUAAAUAUGCUUCUGCUCCUCCUGCUUACAGUUGACUUGGCCAAUGGCUUUGCAAACUAUUUUCUGGUCAGAUAGGAAAUAAAACUAGUGUAAUUUAGAAAUUCAAACUAAGAAAUUAUUAGUGGGCAAACAAAACAAAGAGGAGGAGGAAGAGGCAGAGGAGGAGGGGGAGGAGGAAGAUUAUACUUAUAAAAAAUACUUAGUACAACUAAUUUUACAGUGGUGAUAAUAGGGGUUUUUAGGUAUGUGAACAAUGAGAUCAGCAAGAUAAACAAAACAAAAAACAAACAAAGGAAACAAACGAAAAAGAAAUGCUUGACACUUGAAUCUGAUAACCUGAGUUUGAUUCCUGUAUCCAAGGCAGAAGGAGAAAACCAACUCCCAAAAGUCAUCUUCUGACCUCCUGUGAACACUGUGGCACAGUGCAUACAUGGCAUGUGAGCUAUGCACACACACACCUAGCCAUACAUUUUAAUUAAGCAAAAAUAUCUAUGAAAUGAUGCUAAAUAAACCACAAAAUACCAUGGCACAGUUAUUGCCAGCCCUGUGCACAGUGAACGGUGGCUUUAAGGAGGAAGGUGGCUGACUCUGAGGUAUACAAACUGUAAAGGAAGGGUGACACGGCAGCUGAACAGCUCCCAGCAGGACAGACUCCUGGUGUACCCCAGGCUGACAUCAGCUCUGUGGAUGGCUUGGAUGAAGACGGGCUCAUCAGUGCUGUGAGGGGUAGAUUUGGUAGAAUCUGAAGGCAGGACACAGUCAAUUCAGGGACAAAUGUUCCUGACACAUGACAAGAUUGUCGUAUGACUGCAUCCAGUUUGGAGGCCAGUGUGUGUGGUCGCCUGGCUUGGCAGCUGGUGGCAUGUAAAUAUGAGAUUUCAGCUGUAUGUGACCUCAGCCAUGGCAGCAACUGCUGAGAAUGUGUUGCCAUGGUGUAAUGUCGGGGCCCACAGGACAACCUGUUGAACAAAUCUAGCCUGGAGUCAGGCUUCUUUCGGCUUGCUAGAACCAGCUUACAGAAUAUUUACAUUUUAAAAGACAAUUUACCUUCCUGCUGGGCAACGUUCACAGCAAUGGAUGAACUUUCUGAAAGACCCUGCCUUCUAACUCCUAGUGAAAAAUUGGAAAGCAGCCCACCUGCACCCUUAUUUCCUUCAUGGCUGCACCGACUGUCCCUCUUAGGGUGUCUCUGUAGUCUUUGGAUCCCACCAUGCUCGCUGCUAUGCUUAGUCUCCGUGCAGAGCUGGAGGCUGGCCGCUGGAUUCACACCGACUCAGUUCACUCCCCCUAGCCACUGAGCAAGUGGCCUGUGCGUGCUAGGACAGGGUACUGCUAUUGAACUUCUCAGCAGAUCAAACCACAACUGGAGGGCUGUGAUCUGUAUGGACAAGCCCGCUUAAAAGCAACAACAUGCAACCAAAGCCCCGUUCUCUGCUAUGGGAAGAUUUAACCAUGUCUAAGGUCAUGUGUGCUUGGCUGUUUGCAGCAUUGUUUCACCUCUCUUUCCCAUCAAUGGAGCAGGUCCAGGGAAACCCAAACUAUGCAGUAAACAACAGCUCCCCACUCUCUGUUUUUAAUUUUAUUUAUUAGUAAACUUUUUGAAUAUUUACUUA